UUCCACUUCCGGCGGAGGGGAAGCGAAAUGCAAGGUCACGCCAGACAGAGGGGGCCACAGAUCGCAAGGGCAGGGCCUCCCCACUCCUAGAGCUGCCACCACCAGGCCGCCCGCUCACAGCUACCAGGAGCGAGGGAGGAUGAAGAGGGAAGGAGGGAGGAAGCGUUCACCCGCGCAGGUGCCACGCCGGAGGGCGGGGAACCGGGCGGAGAGGACCACAACAACACCCAAAACCAACGACGGCAUCCAGGAAAGGAACACCACCUCAGGCCCGGAGCUCGGUGGCGCACCGCCGGAACCGGAAGCCGCACCCCCGGAAGUUGGAGGAGACUAGGUUAGAGGGACUAGGCCUCUCUAGGCCUCGGCGGUGCUCGCCAACUUUAUGAUUUUAACCCUUGGUGGUCUCUGGGCGUCUUGGGUCCUCAGGCCUCCCGACCGCGCGGGGACAGCCAAGGCCGCUUUCUUGCUGGGGAGAAGUUCUUCGUAUUUCGGAGCCGCAGUUUGCCCAGUUACAAAAUGGGAAGAAAGGAGCGGGAAUUGAGAUCCUCUGUGAGCCCGCCUGCCGCUGAGUCAGCGCGCCCCACCCUGAGGUUCCACCCUUGGGCCUUUGCACCACCCAAAGGAAAGAAACCAAAAAGAGAGGCUGCAGGCUGCUAUUUGGAGACAGCGGUCCAGUGCGGCGCACCUGGUGGAAGUCAGUCCAGACGACGCAGGGCCCAGUCUAUAAAAUAGGCCCUGCCUCUUUGUACCCAGACAGCAGUGGGCAUAUGCUCGAGAGGUUUGACCGUCUGUCCAGGAAGGGACCCUCUGUGUAUAGGACGGUAAAUCUUAGCCCUAUGUGUCUCUGCCCCAGGUCUUUCCAGUUGCUAUCAGGGUAGGCACGCCAGCCUCAUGUUUAAGAAAUGAAGCUUUAGGUGGGCUCAGUGGCAUGCGCCUGUAAUCCCAGCGAUUUUUCAGGAGGCUGAGGAAGGAGGAUUGCAAGUUUGAGGCCAGCGUCAGCAACUUAGUAAGACUCUGUCUCAAGACUUAAAAAAUAAAAAUAAAAUGUACUGGGAAUAUAGCUCAGUGGAAUGCCAUCCUGGGUUCAAUGCCCAGUACAAAGUACAAGUGUGUGUGUGUGUGUGUGUGUGUGUGUGUGUGUGUAAUCAUCUAGCGACAUCAUAGCCAUCUUAGUAAGCAGAAUAUACUUCAGGAUGUUUGAGCAACAACAUCACCCGAUGCAUUCCUGUUCAUAUCUCUGGUUAAGAGUUUAUUUUCUAUCUUGGGCUGGGGUUGUGGCUCAGUGGUAGAGUGCUCACCUAGCACAUGUGAGGCCCAGGGUUCGAUCCUCAGCACCACAUAAAAAAAUAAACAAAUUUUUAAAAAUGCAUUAAAAAAAAUAAAAAUGAAUCAUGUAACUUAAAAAAAAAAGAGUUUAUUUUUCUAUGUUACUGCUGGAGGUAGAUCAACAGGACCAAGGGCCUUGUCUGUCCUCUCACCAUCAAGUCCCCAGCACUUAAAACUGAGCAUAGACUGAGUAAGCAUUGGUUGAAUUAAGAAGGAAAAGAGAUACAGAGAAGAGUUUUGUUGUUUUUUUUUUAAUAUUUAUUUUUUAAUUUUCGGCAGACACAACAUCCUUAUUUGUAUGUGGUGCUGAGGAUCGAACCCAGGCCGCACGCAUGGCAGGCGAGCGCGCUACUGCUUGAGCCACAUCCCCAGCCCAGAGAAGAGUUUUAUGAUAAAGCCAAUCUGAUACCGAUCACCAGCAACCUAGCUGUGAUUUCACAGAAUUAGGUUUCUGAACUUGACGUAGCAAGGGAAACAGCACACCAAAGAAACUGGAGUGUCUCCCCAAAAGAAAGGGAAGGGUGGGCUGGUGCGAUGGCCCACACCUGUCAUCCCAGCGGUUUGGGAGGCUGAGGCAGGAGGAUCGCAAGUUCAAAGCCAGCCUCAGCAAUGGCAAGGCGCUAAGCAACUCAGUGAGACCAUGUCUCUAAAUAAAAUACAGAAUAGGGCUGGGGAUGUGGCUCAGUGGCUGAGUGCCCCUAAUUUCAAUUUCAAUGCCUGGUACCCGCCUCCCCCCACCAAGAAAAAAAAGGAAAAGAAAGGGAAGGGUGGAGUUGAGGUAAAAUUAAAAUGAAUCAGGUGGAUGGGCGCAGAGCAACCCUGGCAGUGUGUAAAGGUCUAACAUCUGGCUUGGACUAAAAAUCAGACUAACAGUUCUGUUUCCUUGGACACCACAAAGUUAACAUACAUAUAGACUGUAGUUCAGAAGCCUCUUUUCAGAAGCUCUGCACCUGGGCUGGAAAUCUAGGCUGCUUCUCUUAUGUUGAAUCCGGCUCCAACCAAGUAGGCAAGAGUGGGGUGUUCUGUUCUCAGGGAUGUGAUUCUAAACAGCAGAGUUUCCAACAGUCUCUGACUUUAGACAAGGUUUCUCAGCACUAUGUCUUUGAAACUGAUUAACACAAGGAAGUUUGACAGAGUCACAUUUGAUGGGCAUCCCUGUCUGCCUCUGUCAUCUGGUGAACGGGCCAUUGAGACUUCCAGUCUUCUGGCCCCAAUGUGACCCAUCUCCUGGGGCCCCUCAACGUCAUAGGUCUCCAUUAGAACGUGGAGCCAAGUCAUAACCCUUGCUUGGGGGGAUCCAGCAUCCCAGUUCGGGUCAUCUUCCUGUGUCUCCCAAACCUGACACAGAAAACCAGUAGGUAUGCAGCCUAUGUCCAGUAAAUCUAGUUGCUGGUGGGUUUUCUAAAUGCAAAGAAAAAGAAAUGGAAGCAAUAAACAAAUGGGUGAAAGCUGUAAGAGAAGUGGGAAAGGGGGUGACUUGGGAGGGGGAUACCAGAAAUUGAACCCAGAGGUGCUUUACCACUGAGCUACAUCCCCAGCCCUUUGUAUUUUUUUAUUUUGAGAAAUUUCACUAAAUUGCUGAAGUUGGCCCUCCUGCAUCAACCUCCCAAAUUGCUGGGAUUACAGGCAUGUGCCACAGUACCCAUAACAGAGUUAAUUAUUUAUUUGUUUAUUAGGGGAUUGAACUCAGGGACACUCGACCACUGAGCCACACCCCCAGCCCUAGUUUGUAAUUUAUUUAGAGACAGGGUCUCACUGAGUUGGUUAGCACCUCCCUUUUGCUAAGGCUGGCUUUGAACUCGAGAUCCUCCCGUCUCAGCCUCCCAUCUCAGCCUCCCAUGCCACUGGGAUUACAGGCGUGCGCCACCGUGCCCAGCUGGAGUAACUUUUUGUGAGCUCUAUUUCCCAAAGUCAACACGUCUGAACUAUGGCCAAUAUCAAUGUUCCAGGAAAGGAAAAAGAAACAAAUAAAAUGGAAUCGUUGACUUUUACGAUUAAACGAAUGGCUCGUUUGACACUUUGAUGAUUUUAACAGGAGAAUGAAAUUGUUAGCAUCAGGCAUUAAAGAGAGAGCAUCCCAGUGCUGAUCCUUUACCAUCUUUAAAAGGUGCUUUUUAAAUGGAGAUUGUUGAUUUUUCAUGAUUUAGAAAGCAAAAGUGAAAAUUGUUGUUGUUGAUGACUCCAAUUGUUGCCCCAAAACUUAAAUUAUUGACUAGAUGGUCUUUAAAAGAUUUAAAUUGUUGAGAUUUGGAGAUUUAAGGAUAGGAAGACUG
rnacentral:lncRNA from 1 species